rnacentral:rRNA from 1 species
CCUACGGGUGGCAGCAGUGGGGAAUAUUGGGCAAUGGGCGCAAGCCUGACCCAGCAACGCCGCGUGAAGGAAGAAGGCCCUCGGGGUGUAAACUUCUUUUGUCAGGGACGAAGCAAGUGACGGUACCUGACGAAUAAGCCACGGCUAACUACGUGCCAGCAGCCGCGGUAAUACGUAGGUGGCAAGCGUUAUCCGGAUUUACUGGGUGUAAAGGGCGUGUAGGCGGGGAAGCAAGGCAGAUGUGAAAUUCCAGGGCUCACCCCUGGAACGGCCUUUGAAACGGUUUUUCUUGAGUGCUGGAGAGGCUGGCGGCCUUCCGUUUGUAGCGGUGA